AUGUGGAUUGGAAUCUUACAAAAUUAAGCUUCUGAGUACAGAUGUUCUUCCCUUAGUUAGCUCUCCUUUUGCCACCUCCUUAGGUGUAGUUUCUACAUACCCUGGAGAUCAUAAGUUGAAAACUACUCCAUUGACUGAGUCUACUUUGUCUUACAAGUUUUCAUCUCUUUCUACAAAUACAUUAAAGCCUUACUACAAGUUUAUUCAAGCUGCAAAUCUGUUCUGGAAAUUAACUCCCUAGCAAUUUUCUGUGGGCAUGGUUACAGAGUUCAGGACUCCCAUUAACAAGGAACUGAGAAAUGAGUUGGACAUCAUGGUGCAAAGGUGCUUUCUGUGUGAUGUAGAUGCAACAUUUGUGUAGGAUGUACCAAUGACUGUUCCUGAUGAAUAUACAUCUGAAUACAUUGCUAGCUGAAUGAAAAGUCUUAGUAAUAACACAAAAUUAUAUAGCUUAAGUGACAGAACUGAAAUUAGGAAAAAGGUAGGUAAAAAUUAGGCUCCUAAACCCCCAUUUAUUUCCCCUCACAAAAGCUGGUAAAUUUUCUAAACCUAGUGAGCAUAUGGCAAGCCCUGUCCAUGCAAGAAUUACAGGAUACAAGACUCAUUUGAAAAUCAUGUCCAAGUUAGGCAAUAUAAAUUCCCUUAGGUUUCCUCAGUGCGGUACCAAAAGCGGCUUAAGAAAAGGAUACAAUUAUACCACAAUAAAGUUAAUCAAAAUCUGUAGACCGAAUAGGCAGAAACAUGGCACCAAGCCUGUCAGAGUUCAAGGAGCAUCUGGAUGAUGCUCUUAAUCAUAUGGUUCAGUUUUAGGUUGUUCUACAAGGAGCAGGGAGUUGUACUUGAUGAUCUUGUGGGUCUCUUCCAACUUGAGAUGCUCUGAUUCUAUGAUUCUAUGACUGUGUGGUUCAUUGCCCAUAAAACACAAUCAGAGGGGUUAAUGUGGUACUUUAGAAGAAAACAGGUAAAGGAGAGGAGAUGAAGAAGAGUGUAGGAGGGUUAGGUACUAUUCAGAAUUCUGCUAUGAAUCUUUCUCUGUUUCAGUUUCUCCACUGCAAGCAUCCCCUCAUCCAUGUGACCAUCUAAAGGCAACAAAGGGCUUGUACAGACUCGUCAGUGUUAAAAUUGGAAGACUCCUGUCCUUCCAGCUCAGUGCAUGGGGUGGCAUGGGAUUGAACCAACCUGAAAUACCUUGUAGAAAUAUCCCAUGCAAAGACAGAGGUGUCUGUGGAAAAAUCUUGAUUACAUUAUCUCCUGCUCUCAUUAGAGCAUGCAAUACCAUAGCAUUGACAUUUACUCAUUGGAACAUGGCCUGUUCCCCUGAAUGAGAACAAACCAUGGGGUUACAAGUGUCACAGUCAACAUCCUAAAGUGCACAGAGACUAUCAUGGCUAGGCUUCGCGAACGAAGAUUUGGGAACAGAGACUAUAGUCCUUCCUAUGAAGUCACUAGACUUUUGAGUCCUUCUUUACACAAAUAUACACUCACAGACCCACCCAAAGGCAUUAUCUCAACUCAGACAAAACAUCUCAUUGUUCUCUUAUUUUCCUGAAGCUUUUCAUUAUCUUCAAUAGAUUAUAUGUUAAAAAGAGGCUAAUUUUUCCAUUACAAAUGUGAGACCUUAAUAAUAGAAAGAAACCCCCUUCCCUGCUGGUGUAAAAAACCUCUUCCAAUGCUAAAGAAGUCAAGGCUAAAAUGUAUAUGUCUCCAUCUGAGAUGUUCAUCUUUGAUUCAUUUUGGUCCAAAGUCGGUGGUGAGAGGUUCUGAAUCAUCAGAUUAAAGAUUAGAAGUGUUUUCCUUUGGGGUGCAUCCAGGAAGCAGGGUGAACAGAUUUUUAAAUUUGAUAGCUGUAAAGUUGACCACCUACAUCCCAAGCUAAGUUUCACAGAUAGAAAAAAGUGGUAGAUUCCACUAGAAGCUCCUUCAGGCCUCCAAGGACUGAUGACUCAAAGUAGGCAGCAGGAGCACCUGUUUGAUGACACGGAUGUGGCUCCUCCAGUUGUUAAAUGACUAGUGCAACAUCUCUGGCAGCUUCAGCAAGCACUGGUCAUGGCUGGAUGCCUGAUUUGGAGCCCAGUGUGAUGUACAGGCUUUCAGCUGACUAUCUUCUGGAUUUUAUGGUGAUCUCUGUAUCUGAAUGUGACAUUAUAAGCCUGACAAUGCAGCUGCAGCAAUCCUUUCUGACCGUAGGUGGAAGUCUCUGGCCAGAGCAGUCUUGUGGGCAGCACUUGCCACUCUCUAGACAAAAGAAAGUUCCUUUCUUACUGUGGUAUUUGUCUUGGUAGGUGGCAAAUCACUUGUAGCUGGGCAUGGGGAAAGGAAUAGUAAUUUUUUGUUGUAAAGUUUUGUUAUAACUGUGCCUGUAUGUGCUCUUAGGGUAAAACUUCAUCAGCAAUAUUAUUUUAUUGGGCCUUCAUGAACAAUCCUUCAUUCACAGCCGUCCCACACCCAGACGUUCACACAUGACUAAGGUUCAUAGCUGAAGAUACUUGUUGAUGCACAAUUCAUCAAUGACUCUUUUCAGCAGUGAGUGUCCCUCAUGAUGGAUUUUUUUUCCUCUGCUCUCCAGCUGACCCAGCACCUCUGUUAUCCCGGUGUCUAGCCCGGGGUCUCUUGGUUUUCUCCUCUCCCUUCUGUUUAAACAUAUCUGUUUCUUAAAGCUAGGGCUUAUUGAAAUUUCAGGAGGAAAGAAUUCCUGCCAAGAAAUACAGUUUUGUCAAACCCAAUUUUCAGCAAGAGAAUGUCAGCUGUAUGUACGUGCAUACACAGAACUUUACCGGUGAGAAAUUCAAAAGAAAAAAACCAUUUUGAGUGAUCAUUUCAAAACAUGAUGAAAUAUUGUGUUACAGCACAACUUAAACUGACAUUUUUUUCUUUUCGGUAAAAGUCCCCCACAUUUUUUAAAAAACCAUCAUUUUUGUUUGAAACAUCAACCUGUGAUAAUUUUCCUUUUGGAUUUUCUUAGAAACUGCUCAACUUGAAAACCAAAAACUGGAGAGACCUAAGGAUCCCCUCAGAUGAUUUCUGCGAGGUGCUGUGUUGCAGCAGUCUUCCACAGCAAGCUCAAAAGGACAAAACUGUUUGUUCCGCCACCACACCAGCAGGCCAUUCCUUGAGAUGAGCUGCUUCCAUCAAAGGCAGCAGCGCCUGCAGAAACAGAAUUAACUUAAGUUCACUAGCCUCUAAUCAUAGAAGGAUUAGGUAAUUCUAUCUGUUCAAAGUGGAUAAACAGUUUCAAUUGCCUACCAUGGUAAGUGGGUCUGUUUUAAAUUUAGAAACCUUUCAUAGCCUUGGGAUGGUGUCUUUCUCGUGACCUUGAAAGCAGAAAAAUCCGUUUUGAGACCUUGCCCAAGUUUUGAUUCUUCCUUAUGGGAUGAUACUGUUAUUGCUGAGAAGUUGGACAUUUUUGCCAAGUGCUAUGUCUCUAUUAAUAAAAAAAACUAUCUAUAAAGUU